rnacentral:lncRNA from 1 species
AUGUCACAACGGGGUGUUUGGCAGCUUCAGAAGCUGGUAGUCAGCUACUGUAACUGCGGUGGAAGUAGUAGGGGUAUCAGUAAAAAACCAUGAUGUCUUAGUUGAAGGGUGUAAUAUGGAGUCCAGAUGAUUCAUUGUUUGGUAUCUGGAGUUGAUUACGAGGCUCCUUAGGCUCUGCAUUGGACGAGGGAGAUGAAGUUGCUAAAUGGCUCACUUACUUCCGAAGGGAAACCAAGCCACUUAGUAAGCUUUAAUGAAGGUACAAUUCACCACAUAUUAUUAUAGGCUUCAAGCUGAUCUUUUACUUUAAUCAAGCUAUGAGGAUGGUAUUUGCUUACUGAUUAUUACAUGAUCCCUUAUUGGCUUAAGCACACAUAAAUCUACACCUCACUUUGUUUGUGUGCGAAGUAUAAAGCAAGAAAGGUAGCCAAGAAUGAACAACAAUAAGAAAGACUUUUGUAAGGUCAAGGCGUACAUAAAGCAACUCAACAUUUUUAACCACAACAAUAGAUAGGGGUUGUGAAUGUAUGUUUAUUGCGUGUAGUUAUC